GAUUUUGAUCAAUAACUUGUUGUAUUAAAUAACAUAACAGAGGAAAACAUAGCUGCACUUUUUUUCUUUCUUUUCGUUUUUUUUAGCUCCAUGUGAAGAUAACCAUGUCGAUUGUGAAUAUUUUAGAAGGCAUGAGAAAUGUGAACAGCCACUAAAACGCACGACAGAGAUCUGUGCAAAGACAUGCGGGUUCUGUAAAGCACCUGCACCGCCCAGCUGCUCUUUCUUUGAUCGCUAUGGACAGAAUUGUCCAGAAUGCAAAGACUUGUACCGCUACGUGUGUAAGACAUUUUAAGAGGACUGUAAUGAUAUUAACAUUGCUGGAGAUUUUAUGAGGAACUACUGUCCAAAGACUUGCCAUUUGUGCAGCAAUUCAUCGUGCGCCGACUCUCCUAUCAAGGCUUUUGCAUGUUUACUUUGGAAGAGGGUUUUGAAUUGGUGCGAGAUUAAGAAAGAUGUUAUGCGACAUUUUUGCCCAAAGACCUCUUCCUUUUGUUAGCAAAAAGAUUUCGUGACUUUUGUUAGCAGAAAGACUUCGUGACUUUGGUUAGAAGAAAGAUCGCGUGGCUUUCGCCUCUCUCGUUGCCUCCUUAUAGAAAAAAAACAUUCAUUUGGAAAUCCAUAUUUGAUCUUUAGUCCAUAUUCAACGUAAUUUUUAUUUAUAUUUAUAUUUUAUAUUAUUUUUUAGUUUGAAACAGGAAUUGCUCAUUUUUUGUAUUGUUUUGCUGUCAGUUUCUAUUUCUUUCUUUUAAAAAUUACAUGCUGUUUAUUCUUUUAUAUAUCUAAAUUUAUAUCUCUACUAGUAAAAUCAUUUGAAGUUGACAAUGACAACCCAAGCAGUUAGACAACCCAAUAAGUUAGAAUACC